GAUGAACGCUGGCGGCGUGCCUAAUACAUGCAAGUCGAGCGAACGGAUGAGAAGCUUGCUUCUCUGAUGUUAGCGGCGGACGGGUGAGUAACACGUGGAUAACCUACCUAUAAGACUGGGAUAACUUCGGGAAACCGGAGCUAAUACCGGAUAAUAUUUUGAACCGCAUGGUUCAAAAGUGAAAGACGGUCUUGCUUUCACUUAUAGAUGGAUCCGCCCUGCAUUAGCUAGUUGGUAAGGUAACGGCUUACCAAGGCAACGAUGCAUAGCCGACCUGAGAGGGUGAUCGGCCACACUGGAACUGAGACACGGUCCAGACUCCUACGGGAGGCAGCAGUAGGGAAUCUUCCGCAAUGGGCGAAAGCCUGACGGAGCAACGCCGCGUGAGUGAUGAAGGUCUUCGGAUCGUAAAACUCUGUUAUUAGGGAAGAACAUAUGUGUAAGUAACUGUGCACAUCUUGACGGUACCUAAUCAGAAAGCCACGGCUAACUACGUG
rnacentral:rRNA from 1 species